UCCUACGGGAGGCAGCAGUGGGGAAUAUUGGACAAUGGGGGCAACCCUGAUCCAGCCAUGCCGCGUGUGUGAAGAAGGCCCUCGGGUUGUAAAGCACUUUCAGCGAGGAAGAACGCCUAGCGGUUAAUACCCGCUAGGAAAGACAUCACUCGCAGAAGAAGCACCGGCUAACUCCGUGCCAGCAGCCGCGGUAAUACGGAGGGUGCAAGCGUUAAUCGGAAUUACUGGGCGUAAAGCGCGCGUAGGUGGCUUGAUAAGCUGGUUGUGAAAGCCCCGGGCUCAACCUGGGAACGGCAUCCGGAACUGUCAAGCUAGAGUGCAGGAGAGGAAGGUAGAAUUCCCGGUGUAGCGGUGAAAUGCGUAGAGAUCGGGAGGAAUACCAGUGGCGAAGGCGGCCUUCUGGACUGACACUGACACUGAGGUGCGAAAGCGUGGGUAGCAAACAGGAUUAGAUACCCUGGUAGUCCACGCCGUAAACGAUGUCGACCAGCCGUUGGGUGCCUAGCGCACUUUGUGGCGAAGUUAACGCGAUAAGUCGACCGCCUGGGGAGUACGGCCGCAAGGUUAAAACUCAAAUGAAUUGACGGGGGCCCGCACAAGCGGUGGAGCAUGUGGUUUAAUUCGAUGCAACGCGAAGAACCUUACCUACUCUUGACAUCCUGCGAAUUUGGUAGAGAUACCUUAGUGCCUUCGGGAACGCAGAGACAGGUGCUGCAUGGCUGUCGUCAGCUCGUGUUGUGAAAUGUUGGGUUAAGUCCCGUAACGAGCGCAACCCUUGUCCUUAUUUGCCAGCGCGUAAUGGCCGGGAACUCUAGAGACUGCCGGGUGACAAAUCCGGAGAAGGUGGGACGAGUCAAGUCAUCAUGGACCUUUCAGAUAGGGCUACCACCGC
rnacentral:rRNA from 1 species